rnacentral:lncRNA from 1 species
ACUAUAUGAGCACUCCAAGAAGUCAAACCCACUUCUUGUUACAACGCCUCACAAACAACAAGUCAAACCCACUUCUUAUUACUCAGACUCACAACGUUCAAUAAUAGAAAAGAUUACAACUCAGAAUCUAUCCUAUUACAGACUCAAAACUCAUCAAUUUACUCCAACUGGUGAUAUCAACAAAAACUACUAACUCUAGCCUUAAACUUCUCAAACUUCAACUUUCAGUAAUGCAAAUUCGAACAGAAACUGUGAAGCAGGUUUCUAUUUUGCUGUGAUGAGGUCCUGCAGUUUUUGCUUUGAUGGCUAUUGUUCUCAAGAUGAUAUAUUUCGUGGAUGUGCAAUAGGUGCGGCUCUCAAUGAUUUUCAUGCCAUAUAUAUAGUGGAGAUUUGUCAUACCCUAGAAUAUCAUGGACUAGGACUCUUUCUCUAAAUGGAAUAUGGUUUCCUGUAAGGAAUUAGGUGAUUCCUUUCCUUAUAAGGAGAUUACAUCAUAUAAUGAAACUUUGAAUCCUCUUUAAACUCUAUUUCUUCUUUUUUAUUUCUAUCCUUCUUUGCUAAUUUAUUUCAUUCUUUCUUUGCUCCUUUCUUUCCUUGUUUGCUCCUUUGUUUAUUUUCUUCUUUACCAAUCUUUCUUAUUUGCACUUGAUUUCCUUGUGUAUUCAUGUCACCUGCUAUGGGACCUAGUUCACAACUGUUCAGGGACCUGGUUCACCGGAUACAACAUACAAAAGACAACAAGUAGUAAAUCAGGUUCUUAUUUUUCAAUCAUCAAAACUAUAAACAUGUUCUCUUACUUUCCAACAAGUGACGAUGUGGUUGCGGGACAAAUCCACCUAGACCUGCGAAGAUGUUAAGAAAACCUUUUAUUUUUUCAAAACCCAUCUCGCUUAGCACUGCAUACUGUUGUUUAA